ACUAAAACACCGGCUCCCGUACGAUCACCGAAGUUAAACAACGACGAGCUUAGUCAAUACCAAAAUGGGUGACUGCUUAGGAAUGCCAUGUGCUGUU